UUAUUGACUAAAUUGGUGCCAGCAGUCGCGGUUAUACCAUUAAUACAAAUAAAUUUUUUUAGUAUUAAUUAAAUUAAAUUUAUUAAUAAUAAUAAAAUUAAAUAUAUUAAGUGAAAUUUUAUAUUUAAAUUAUUAUAUAAAAAUGUAAUUGAGGUUAAAAAAUUUUAAUAAAAAACUAGGAUUAGAUACCCUAUUAUUUAAAAUGUAAAUAAAUUGCUAAAGUAGUAAUAGUUAUGUUCUUGAAACUUAAAAAAUUUGGCGGUAUUUUAGUCUAUCUAGAGGAACCUGUUUUUUAAUCGAUAAUCCACGAUGGACCUUACUUAAAUUUGUAAUCAGUUUAUAUACCGUCGUUAUCAGAAUAUUUUAUAAGAAUAAUAAUAUUCAAUAAUUUUAAUAAAAAUUUAUAUCAGAUCAAGGUGUAGCUUAUAUUUAAGUAAUAAUGGGUUACAAUAAAUUUAUUUAUAUGAAUAAAAUUAUGAAAAAAUUUUUGAAAGUGGAUUUAGUAGUAAAAUUAUAAAGAUUAAUAAUUUGAUUUUAGCUCUAAAAUAUGUACACAUCGCCCGUCGCUCUUAUUAUUAAGGUAAGAUAAGUCGUAACAUAGUAGAUGUACUGGAAAGUGUAUCUAGAAUGA
rnacentral:rRNA from 1 species